GACGAACGCUGGCGGCGUGCUUAACACAUGCAAGUCGAACGGAAAGGCCCUGCUUUUGUGGGGUGCUCGAGUGGCGAACGGGUGAGUAACACGUGAGUAACCUGCCCUUGCCUUUGGGAUAACUUCAGGAAACUGGGGCUAAUACCGGCUAGGAGCUCCUGCUGCAUGGUGGGGGUUGGAAAGUUUCGGCGGUUGGGGAUGGACUCGCGGCUUAUCAGCUUGUUGGUGGGGUAGUGGCUUACCAAGGCUUUGACGGGUAGCCGGCCUGAGAGGGUGACCGGCCACAUUGGGACUGAGAUGCGGCCCAGACUCCUACGGGAGGCAGCAGUGGGGAAUAGUGCACAAUGGGCGGAAGCCUGAUGCAGCAACGCCGCGUGCGGGAUGACGGCAUUGGGGUUGUAAACCACUGUCGCCUGUGACGAAGCGUGAGUGACGGUAAUGGGUGAAGAAGCACCGGCUAACUACGUG
rnacentral:rRNA from 1 species